rnacentral:rRNA from 1 species
UACGAAGGGGGCUAGCGUUGUUCGGAAUCAUUGGGCGUAAAGAGCGUGUAGGCGGCCCGGUAAGUCCGCUGUAAAAGUCAAAGGCUCAACCUUUGAAUGUCAGUGGAUACUGCCGGGCUAGAGUCCGGAAGAGGCGAGUGGAACUCCUGGUGUAGCGGUGGAAUGCGCAGAUAUCGGGAAGAACACCAACGGCGAAGGCAGCUCGCUGGGACGGUACUGACGCUGAGACGCGAAAGCGUGGGGAGCGAACAGG